CCUACGGGAGGCAGCAGUGGGGAAUAUUGGACAAUGGGGGGAACCCUGAUCCAGCCAUGCCGCGUGUGUGAAGAAGGCCCUCGGGUUGUAAAGCACUUUCAGUGAGGAAGAACGCCUGGUGGUUAAUACCCAUCAGGAAAGACAUCACUCACAGAAGAAGCACCGGCUAACUCCGUGCCAGCAGCCGCGGUAAUACGGAGGGUGUGAGCGUUAAUCGGAAUUUCUGGGCGUAAAGCGCGCGUAGGUGGCUUGAUAAGCCGGUUGUGAAAGCCCCGGGCUCAACCUGGGAACGGCAUCCGGAACUGUCAAGCUAGAGUGCAGGAGAGGAAGGUAGAAUUCCCGGUGUAGCGGUGAAAUGCGUAGAGAUCGGGAGGAAUACCAGUGGCGAAGGCGGCCUUCUGGACUGACACUGACACUGAGGUGCGAAAGCGUGGGUAGCAAACAGGAUUAGAUACCCCUGUAGUC
rnacentral:rRNA from 1 species